rnacentral:misc_RNA from 1 species
GAUGAAGAACGUAGCGAAAUGCGAUAAGUAAUGUGAAUUGCAGAAUUCAGUGAAUCAUCGAAUCUUUGAACGCACAUUGCGCCCGCCAGUAUUCUGGCGGGCAUGCCUGUUCGAGCGUCAUUUCAACCCUCAAGCACAGCUUGGUGUUGGGACUCGCGUUAAUUCGCGUUCCUCAAAUUGAUUGGCGGUCACGUCGAGCUUCCAUAGCGUAGUAGUAAAACCCUCGUUACUGGUAAACGUCGCGGCCACGCCGUUAAACCCCAACUUCUGAAUGUUGACCUCGGAUCAGGUAGGAAUACCCGCUGAACUUAAGCAUAUCAAUAAGCGGAGGA